rnacentral:tRNA from 14 species
CGCGGGAUGGAGCAGCCUGGUAGCUCGUCGGGCUCAUAACCCGAAGGUCGUCGGUUCAAAUCCGGCUCCCGCA